GCUGGCGGCACGCCUAACACAUGCAAGUCGAGCGCUUCACUUCGGUGAGGAGCGGCGGACGGGUUAGUAACGCGUGGGAACAUACCCUUUUCUACGGAAUAGCCUCGGGAAACUGAGAGUAAUACCGUAUACGCCCUUCGGGGGAAAGAUUUAUCGGUUAAGGAUUGGCCCGCGUAAGAUUAGAUAGUUGGUGGGGUAAUGGCCUACCAAGUCUACGAUCUUUAGCUGGUUUGAGAGGAUGAUCAGCAACACUGGGACUGAGACACGGCCCAGACUCCUACGGGAGGCAGCAGUGGGGAAUCUUAGACAAUGGGCGCAAGCCUGAUCUAGCGAUGCCGCGUGAGUGAAGAAGGUCUUAGGAUCGUAAAGCUCUUUCGCCAGGGAUGAUAAUGACAGUACCUGGUAAAGAAACCCCGGCUAACUCCGUGCCAGCAGCCGCGGUAAUACGGAGGGGGUUAGCGUUGUUCGGAAUUACUGGGCGUAAAGCGUACGUAGGCGGACUAGUAAGUGAGGGGUGAAAUCCCGGGGCUCAACCCCGGAACUGCCUUUCAUACUGCUAGUCUUGAGAUCGUGAGAGGUGAGUGGAAUUCCGAGUGUAGAGGUKAAAUUCGUAGAUAUUCGGAGGAACAUCAGUGGCGAAGGCGGCUCACUGGCACGAUACUGACGCUGAGGUACGAAAGUGUGGGGAGCAAACAGGAUUAGAUACCCUGGUAGUCCACACCGUAWACGAUGAAUGCCAGACGUCGGGUAGCUUGCUAUUCGGUGUCACACCUAACGGAUUAAGCAUUCCGCCUGGGGAGUACGGUCGCAAG
rnacentral:rRNA from 1 species